rnacentral:rRNA from 1 species
AGAGUUUGAUCCUGGCUCAGGAUGAACGCUAGCGGCAGGCUUAAUACAUGCAAGUCGUGGGGCAGCACAGGUAGCAAUACUGGGUGGCGACCGGCAAACGGGUGCGGAACACGUACGCAACCUUCCUUUAAGCGGGGAAUAGCCCAGGGAAACUUGGAUUAAUACCCCAUAAGACAGUGGUGUGGCAUCAUACAGCUGUUAAAGCUCCGGCACUUAAAGAUGGGCGUGCGGCUGAUUAGGUAGUUGGCGGGGUAACGGCCCACCAAGCCAACGAUCAGUAACUGGUGUGAGAGCACGACCAGUCACACGGGCACUGAGACACGGGCCCGACUCCUACGGGAGGCAGCAGUAAGGAAUAUUGGUCAAUGGACGCAAGUCUGAACCAGCCAUGCCGCGUGGAGGAUGAAGGCCCUCUGGGUUGUAAACUUCUUUUAUUGGGGAAGAACUCUAUCUUUUCUAAGGUAGUUGACGGUACCCGAUGAAUAAGCACCGGCUAACUCCGUGCCAGCAGCCGCGGUAAU